UACAGAGGGUGCGAGCGUUGUCCGGAAUCACUGGGGCGUAAAGGGCGCGUAGGCGGCCUGAUAAGUAGGGGGUGAAAUCCUGUGGCUUAACUGCAGGGCUGCCUCCUAGACUGUUUAGGCUCGAGCACGGGUAGAGGCAGAUGGAAUUCCCGGUGUAGCGGUGGAAUGCGUAGAGAUCGGGGAAGAACAUCGGUGGCGAAGGCGGUCUGCUGGGCCGUU
rnacentral:rRNA from 1 species